CACCGCGGUUAAACGAGAGACUCAAGUAGAUGAGCAGACGGCGUAAAGAGUGGUCAAGGGAAAAACUAUAAAAUAAAGCAGAACACCCUCAGCACUGUUAUACGUGCAGCCGAGAUCAAAGAAAAACACCCACGAAAGUGGCUUUAACCCCCACCCCAUCCACGAAAGCUGGGAUA
rnacentral:rRNA from 1 species